rnacentral:rRNA from 1 species
AAAAUAGGGCAGGCUACCCAUGCAAGUCGAGGGGCAACAUUGUGCUUGCACAGAUGACGACCGGCGCACGGGUGCGUAACGCGUAUAGAAUCUACCUUUUGUUGCUGGAUAGCCCAUAGAAAUUUGGAUUACUACUGCAUAGUAUACACUAUUUUCCUGAGUUAUGUAUUAAAGGUUACGGCAUUAGAUGACCAUGCGUCCCAUUAGUUCGUUGGUAAGGUAACGGCUUACCAAGACAGCGAUAGGUCGGGGCUCUGUGAGGGGGAUCCCCCACAUUGGUACUGAGACACGGUCCAGAUCUAUACGGGAGGCAGCAGUGAGGAAUAUUGGACAAUGGAGGCAACUCUGAUCCAGCCAUGCCGCGUGCAGGAUGACUGCCCUAUGGGUUGUAAACUGCUUUUAUACAGGAAGAAACAUCUCUACGUGUAGAGACUUGACGGUACUGUAAGAAUAAGGAUCGGCUAACUCCGUGCCAGCAGCCGCGGUAAUACGGAGGAUCCAAGCGUUAUCCGGAAUCAUUGGGUUUAAAGGGUCCGUAGGUGGAUAAUUAAGUCAGAGGUGAAAGUUUGCAGCUCAACUGUAAAAUUGCCUUUGAUACUGGUUAUCUUGAAUCAUUAUGAAGUAGUUAGAAUAUGUAGUGUAGCGGUGAAAUGCAUAGAUAUUACAUAGAAUACCAAUUGCGAAGGCAGAUUACUAAUAAUGUAUUGACACUGAUGGACGAAAGCGUGGGGAGCGAACAGGAUUAGAUACCCUGGUAGUCCACGCCGUAACGAUGGAUACUAGCUGUUCGGAACUUGUUUCUGAGUGGCUAAGCGAAAGUGAUAAGUAUCCCACCUGGGGAGUACGUUCGCAAGAAUGAAACUCAAGGAAUUGACGGGGGCCCGCACAAGCGUGGAGCAUGUGGUUUAAUUCGAUGAUACGCGAGGAACCUUACCACGGCUUAAAUGUAGAUUGACAGGACUAGAGAUAGUUUUUUUCUUCUGACAUUUACAGGUGCUGCAUGUUGUCAGUCAGCUCGUGCUCUUGAGGUGUCAAGAUAGUCCUAUAACGAGCGCAAGCCCCUGCUCGCUAAGUGCCAGCGAGGUCAGGUCAGAACUUCUACCAGACGCCAAUCAACCUGUGAAGCAACGUUGGGAUGACGUCGAUGCAUGCACGACUUACGUCUGGCCUACCACGUCCGCGAGUCCUAGUACGAGGACGGCCAUGCAUCAGAUACGACUCUAUUGACCCGGUACGCAGCUG